GACGAACGCUGGCGGCGUGCCUAAUACAUGCAAGUCGAGCGGACAGAAGGGAGCUUGCUCCCGGAAGUCAGCGGCGGACGGGUGAGUAACACGUGGGCAACCUACCCUGUAGAUCGGGAUAACAUCGAGAAAUCGGUGCUAAUACCGGAUAAUCAUUUGAAGUGAAUGCUUCGAAUGUAAAAGAUGGCGCCGGCUAUCACUACGGGAUGGGCCCGCGGCGCAUUAGCUAGUUGGUAAGGUAAUGGCUUACCAAGGCAACGAGGCGUAGCCGACCUGAGAGGGUGAGCGGCCACACUGGGACUGGGACACGGCCCAGACUCCUACGGGAGGCAGCAGUAGGGAAUCUUCCGCAAUGGACGAAAGUCUGACGGAGCAACGCCGCGUGAGUGAUGAAGGUUUUCGGAUCGUAAAGCUCUGUUGUUAGGGAAGAACAAGUGCCGUUUGAAUAAGGCGGCACCUUGACGGUACCUAACCAGAAAGCCACGGCUAACUACGUGCCAGCCGCCGCAGUAAGAC
rnacentral:rRNA from 1 species